rnacentral:rRNA from 1 species
CACAAGCAGCGGAGCAUGUGGUUUAAUUCGAAGCAACGCGAAGAACCUUACCAAGACUUGACAUCCCCUGACAGCUGUUGAAAGGCAGUGUCUCUUCGGAGCAGGGAGACAGGUGGUGCAUGGUUGUCGUCAGCUCGUGUCGUGAGAUGUUGGGUUAAGUCCCGCAACGAGCGCAACCCUUAUCCUUAGUUACCAGCACGUAAAGGUGGGGACUCUAGGGAGACCGCCGGGGACGACUCGGAGGAAGGUGGGGACGACGUCAAAUCAUCAUGCCCCUUAUGUCUUGGGCUACACACGUGCUACAAUGGCCGCAACAGAGGGAAGCGAGAGCGCAAGCUGGAGCAAAACCCUAAAAAGCGGUCCCAGUUCGGAUUGUGGGCUGCAACCCGCCCACAUGAAGUCGGAGUUGCUAGUAAUCGCGAAUCAGCAUGUCGCGGUGAAUGCGUUCCCGGGCCUU